rnacentral:ncRNA from 1 species
UAGCGUGUCAGACGCGAUGGUUCCCCAUCCGGGGAUCAAUAGGGAAUGCGGUGCGGGCGCGAGAUGUCCAAAGCCGCGGCUGCCCCCGCAACUGUAGGCGGAGAGCCUGCGCCCAUCAGGACCACUGGGACACCGGGAAGGUCGGGCGCAUCACGGCGCAGAUCCGCAAGCCAGGAGACCUGCCAUCGCGACAUGGUCUGC